GGGGGGGAAAGAAAGAGGCGGAGGAGGGGAUAGGGGUGCGUGGGGGGGGGGGGGCGAGGGGGGAGCGAGACGUGCUCCUUCCCCCCACGCCGCACGUGCACCCUAAAAUGAAAGCUUUCUUUGCAGCCGGAGUGCCCGGGGAGGCUGCUGGCUGCCCGGGGCCGGAGCGGCGCGGGCGGAGGGAAGCCAGGCUGGGAUCUGCCUGGGAGACCUUUUCUCCAGAAAUACUUCUGUCUCCAAGAAGAAAGUAAAUGGGAAAAAAGAGGAGGGUGAAGAAGAGGGAGAGGAGGAAGACCUCUGACAGAUGGUUCAAAGCCAGAAACAUGGAUUUCCACAGCAGUCACCCUCGAAAGGAAUGCCUGAGGAGUAAAUUUCCCCAGGCACACACCGGUGAAAGGUGCUAACAAAAUUCCUUCAGUAGUGAGUCAAACUUCUUGAUCAAUAAGGGUCACCUUAUGUCUAGAUUGAAUGAUUUCUUUCACAUACAUUUCCCCAUUCCCACCAAA